rnacentral:rRNA from 1 species
AUACGGAGGGUGCAAGCGUUAUUCGGAAUCACUGGGCGUAAAGGGUGCGUAGGCGGUUUGAUAAGUCUGAUGUGAAAUCCUAUGGCUCAACCAUAGAACUGCAUUGGAAACUGUCAGACUAGAAUACUGAAGGGGCAGAUGGAAUUAGUGGUGUUGGGGUAAAAUCCGUAGAAAUCACUAGGAAUACCGAAAGCGAAAGCGAUCUGCUGGGAAGUUAUUGACGCUGAGGCACGAAAGCGUGGGGAGCAAACGGGAUUAGAUACCCUAGUAGUCC